rnacentral:rRNA from 1 species
GACGAACGCUGGCGGCGCGCUUAACACAUGCAAGUCGAACGGAAAGGCCUGCUUUCCCUUGUGGAUUGCGGGUACUCGAGUGGCGAACGGGUGAGUAACACGUGAGUGAUCUGCCCCCAACUUGGGUAUAAGCCUGGGAAACUGGGUCUAAUUCCCGAUAGGACUGCAGGGUGGUGCCUGUGGUGGAAAACGAUUUUCUAGUGGUUGGGGAUGAGCUCGCGGCCUAUCAGCUUGUUGGUGGGGUAAUGGCCUACCAAGGCGGCGACGGGUAGCCGGCCUGAGAGGGUGGACGGCCACAUUGGGACUGAGACACGGCCCAGACUCCUACGGGAGGCAGCAGUGGGGAAUAUUGCACAAUGGGCGGAAGCCUGAUGCAGCGACGCCGCGUGGGGGAUGACGGCCUUCGGGUUGCAAACUCCUUUCGACCGCGAGGAAGCCACCUGGUUGGAAGGGUGGUGACGGUAGUGGUAGAAGAAGCACCGGCUAACUACGUG